rnacentral:rRNA from 1 species
GAUGAACGCUGGCGGCGUGCCUAAUACAUGCAAGUCGAGCGAACAGACGAGGAGCUUGCUCCUCUGACGUUAGCGGCGGACGGGUGAGUAACACGUGGAUAACCUACCUAUAAGACUGGGAUAACUUCGGGAAACCGGAGCUAAUACCGGAUAAUAUAUUGAACCGCAUGGUUCAAUAGUGAAAGACGGUUUUGCUGUCACUUAUAGAUGGAUCCGCGCCGCAUUAGCUAGUUGGUAAGGUAACGGCUUACCAAGGCAACGAUGCGUAGCCGACCUGAGAGGGUGAUCGGCCACACUGGAACUGAGCACCGGUCCAACCUCCUCCGGGAGGCAGCAGUAGGGAAUCUUCCGAAAUGGGCGAAAGCUUGACGGAGCAACGCCGCGUGAGUGAUGAAGGUCUUCGGAUCGAAAAACUCUUUUAUUAGGGAAGAACAAAUGUGUAAGUAACUAUGCACGUCUUGACGGUACCUAAUAAGAAAGCCACGGCUAACUACGUG